CAGAGCCUUGUGUGGCUAGAACCCAAGGCCCUCACUCCAGGGGUGCUGAGAGAGCCUGUCCAGAGGGCCUGCCUCAGCCACCACCUGGGACAGGUUCACGCCCUCCACUGAAGAGACACCCGGCCAGCCCUGGGCCUUCGACCUGGGACGUCUGUAGUGGGGUCAGGGGAUGAGACCUGGAGCUCAGAACAGACGGGCUGAGCUCCCUGGAGGAGAGAGAACUGAGAACCUUGUCCUGGCAGGGACGCUAGAGCACUGGGUGGGACAGACCUUUCUGGAAGAGCAAGAUUUUAACAGGAAGAAAAAGUGGAAGGACUUCCCAGCAGGACCCAGCCUGAACAAAGGGAGACUGGAGUUGGCCGAGCCCGAUUUGGG
rnacentral:lncRNA from 1 species